AUACUUACCCGGCGUAGGGAUACCGUGAGCAUUCAGGCAGUUCUACGAGGGUGAGGCUGCUCCAUUGUACUGCGGUGUGGUUGACCCUUGCGAUUAUAUUUGUUUUUUAAGAGUGUCACUUCUACCGUGUGUGAAUUGAACUGAAUUGUACACACA